GCAAAGCAAACAGUCACAAGUUAGCUAGGAUGAACAAUACCAGGAAGUGGAGUAGAACUCAACCUAAUCGUUUCACAUGUUCCACCUUUCCUACCACUAUUUCCUGUAGCAACACUGGUCUUCCUCUUAGUUGUCCCAGCACGUUUGAUGACCCACUUCCUCUGUAGUAAAUCAAAUUACUUUUCUGUUCUUUGUCCUCUCAUUCUCACACUUUUUACUGGUUCCCCUGUCCCCCUAGUCCCUGGCUGUGAAUGGAGUGUGUGUGUUUCUGUGUGGUUUCUGGGAGCCUGAGAGAGAAACAGUUGAGGUGUGGAAACUCUCCUCUCCCGAGAGGAAAAAAAUGUACGUGAAUAAGAGAGAAGACACUUGCAAGGUUUCCAUCCAAUUGGUGACAAAAUCCCGAUAAAAACAAUGUACAUUUUCCAAGCAGAAAAUGAAACAGGCUUAUUGCGGCUAAAAAUAUAUGCGGGAUGAUGUAGUGCACAUAAGAAUAACUUUUGCAGUUAAAUUCAUUCAAAAAGUGAUGGAGUUCAACAAUGCUGACAGCUGGUUCCUACUACCAAGUGCAUGUGAGGUCAACAAUGCUGAUGGUUGGUUCCUACUACCAAGCGCAUGUGAGGUCAACAAUGCUGAUGGCUGGUUCCUACUACCAAGCGCAUGUGAGGUCAACAAUGCUGAUGGCUGGUUCCUACUUCCAAGCGCAUGUGAGGUCAACAAUGCUGAUGGCUGGUUCCUACUUCCAAGCGCAUGUGAGGUCAACAAUGCUGAUGGCUGGUUCCUACUUCCAAGCGCAUGUGAGGUCAACAAUGCUGACAGCUGGUUCCUACUUCCAAGCGCAUGUGAGGUCAACAAUGCUGAUGGCUGGUUCCUACUACCAAGUGUAUGUGAGGUCAACAAUGCUGAUGGCUGGUUCCUACUUCCAAGCGCAUGUGAGGUCAACAAUGCUGAUGGCUGGUUCCUACUUCCAAGCGCAUGUGAGGUCAACAAUGCUGAUGGCUGGUUCCUACUUCCAAGCGCAUGUGAGGUCAACAAUGCUGAUGGCUGGUUCCUACUUCCAAGCGCAUGUGAGGUCAACAAUGCUGAUGGCUGGUUCCUACUUCCAAGCGCAUGUGAGGUCAACAAUGCUGACAGCUGGUUCCUACUUCCAAGCGCAUGUGAGGUCAACAAUGCUGAUGGCUGGUUCCUACUACCAAGUGUAUGUGAGGUCAACAAUGCUGACAGCUGGUUCCUACUACCAAGCGCAUGAGAGGUCAACAAUGCUGACAGCUGGUUCCUACUACCAAGUGCAUGUGAGGUCAACAAUGCUGACAGCUGGUUCCUACUACCAAGCGCAUGAGAGGUCAACAAUGCUGACAGCUGGUUCCUACUACCAAGCGCAUGCGAGGUCAACAAUGCUGAUGGCUGGUCAACAAUGCUGACAGCUGGUUCCUACUACCAAGCGCAUGUGAGGUCAACAAUGCUGACAGCUGGUUCCUACUACCAAGCGCAUGUGAGGUCAACAAUGCUGAUGGCUGGUUCCUACUACCAAGCGCAUGUGAGGUCAACAAUGCUGAUGGCUGGUUCCUACUACCAAGCGCAUGUGAGGUCAACAAUGCUGAUGGCUGGUUCCUACUACCAAGCGCAUGUGAGGUCAACAAUGCUGAUGGCUGGUUCCUACUACCAAGCGCAUGUGAGGUCAACAAUGCUGAUGGCUGGUUCCUACUACCAAGCGCAUGUGAGGUCAACAAUGCUGAUGGCUGGUUCCUACUUCCAAGCGCAUGUGAGGUCAACAAUGCUGACAGCUGGUUCCUACUACCAAGCGCAUGAGAGGUCAACAAUGCUGACAGCUGGUUCCUACUACCAAGUGCAUGUGAGGUCAACAAUGCUGACAGCUGGUUCCUACUACCAAGCGCAUGAGAGGUCAACAAUGCUGAUGGCUGGUUCCUACUACCAAGCGCAUGCGAGGUCAACAAUGCUGAUGGCUGGUUCCUACUUCCAAGCGCAUGUGAGGUCAACAAUGCUGAUGGCUGGUUCCUACUACCAAGUGCAUGUGAGGUCAACAAUGCUGAUGGCUGGUUCCUACUACCAAGCGCAUGUGAGGUCAACAAUGCUGAUGGCUGGUUCCUACUACCAAGCGCAUGUGAGGUCAACAAUGCUGAUGGCUGGUUCCUACUACCAAGCGCAUGUGAGGUCAACAAUGCUGAUGGCUGGUUCCUACUACCAAGCGCAUGCGAGGUCAACAAUGCUAAUGGCUGGUCAACAAUGCUGACAGCUGGUUCCUACUACCAAGCGCAUGUGAGGUCAACAAUGCUGAUGGCUGGUUCCUACUACCAAGCGCAUGCGAGGUCAACAAUGCUAAUGGCUGGUCAACAAUGCUGACAGCUGGUUCCUACUACCAAGUGCAUGUGAGGUCAACAAUGCUGAUGGCUGGUUCCUACUACCAAGCGCAUGCGAGGUCAACAAUGCUAAUGGCUGGUCAACAAUGCUGACAGCUGGUUCCUACUACCAAGCGCAUGUGAGGUCAACAAUGUUGAUGGCUGGUUCCUACUACCAAGCGCAUGAGAGGUCAACAAUGCUGAUGGCUGGUUCCUACUACCAAGCGCAUGCGAGGUCAACAAUGCUAAUGGCUGGUCAACAAUGCUGACAGCUGGUUCCUACUACCAAGCGCAUGUGAGGUCAACAAUGCUGACAGCUGGUUCCUACUACCAAGCGCAUGUGAGGUCAACAAUGCUGAUGGCUGGUUCCUACUACCAAGCGCAUGUGAGGUCAACAAUGCUGAUGGCUGGUUCCUACUACCAAGCGCAUGUGAGGUCAACAAUGCUGAUGGCUGGUUCCUACUACCAAGCGCAUGUGAGGUCAACAAUGCUGAUGGCUGGUUCCUACUACCAAGCGCAUGUGAGGUCAACAAUGCUGAUGGCUGGUUCCUACUACCAAGCGCAUGUGAGGACAACACACACACACGUUCUGCAAAGAAAUACAUGACCUUUUCUGCACUGCCUGAGAGAAAGAAACCAGCUUAUCUAGAGCUCCACUGUCUCCUUUCAUUCAAAUUCAUAUCUCAAAAUUCGAAUUCAAUCUCCUGUGAGACGGAUCUGAGGUUUCUCUCUACCAGUCUCGCUCUCCCUAUUGCUGUCUCUUUCCGUCUCAUUUGGUGUGUCUCUCUCUCCGUAUCGCUCCCUUUCUGCCUCAGAUUUUGGAACCUCUGGCUGUGCGGUUGACUGACCUCUACAGUGAUGUGAAUCCACAGCAACACGUUGAUUCAGUAAAUAGACCCUGAUAACACACGUGGCUCUCCUUCCAUCCUGUCUCCAGACUAUAUUUUUUGCAGCGAAACAAAAACAAACAAUCUAACCCUCCAAACCUCUCAAAGGGUUCUCUGAAAGUUCCCCUAUUCAGACUAAUUCUCGCCAUGGUUAUUAUGGAAGGUACUGAAGACUUUUAUUGUUCUAGCCUCAAUCAAACUGAGCCAGGAAGAGAGCAACAAGUGUGUCUGUGUGAGUGUGUGUGUAGAUGGAUUGCUAUGCGUCAACCACUUCAACGUCCAGGAGAUGGAUGAGACGAAAGAGUGUUACCGUGACAACAGGCUGUGGAGAUGAACAAGGGUUCUAUGAAAGGGUGAAUGCACUCAGGGCAGGUGUGUGGGUGGUGAUGAAGGAUGGAGGUAUUAGAAGACCACCCUCACCUCUGAGACACACACACACACACACACACACAGCUAAUUAACAUUAUCCCAAUAAUGGUCACCUACAUUAAGGAUGUAACUGUGGAGGUGUGAUUGCGUGAACCCAUUAAGCAGUCUAAUGCCACACAGACACACACAACAGAGCCCUCAAACUCAGUUCCACUGCUUUGUUUCCCCAUUGUUCCCCUCUAAUCAGGGACUGAUUUAGACCUGGGACACCGGGUGGGUGCAAUUAAUGUUCAGGUAGAACAGAGAACCAGCAGGUUCCGGACCUCGUAGGGUAAGAGUUGAAUACCCUGGACCAGAGGAUUGCAGGAUUUUAGGGUGCUACAACCCAAUCGGCUUGUCCACUAGAUCUAACAGGCAGUAUUGAUGGGUUGGGGGAUAGAUACAUGUACACAUAUUUUGAGAAGCUUGUUCUUCUCCUUUUUAAUUAGGAAGCCAAUUUGUUUUCAGCACUUUUAUUUCCAUGACUGAUCAAAACGUUCUCAUGGCUUCUCUUGUUCCUCUGCAGCAGACAUAUGGUGAGAAAUAUGUUUGGAAUAUUGAAUCGCAAUAAAUAUAAAAUCAUGAGAAUUGCAAUACAUAUAGAAUCGGCACCAAAGUAUCGUGAGGUCCCUGGCAAUUCCCAGCUUUAACACACAGUGAAUGAAAGUGCAAGAUGUAUUCCUCAUUUUACUGGAGGGCCACACAAUGCUUUGGACCUGAAAACCAUUCAGCCCAUCUCACACUAAACCCACCUCUCCUCAGAGUCUGGAACUGCCUAGAAGGAAUGGACAAUGCCGUCAAAACACGUGUUUCUACAUUUUGUCUUUGCUUUAACCCUUUACACUCAUGGGAAUUGGCCUAUAUGGAUAAGGUCAAAUUGAAAUGUUUCUUACAGAAGACCUAUAAAAAGAACAUGACAAUGCGAGAAAAACAUUGGAGAUUAUGGGGAAAUGAUCAGACCAAAAGGUGAGGACACAACAGUUCACCUGACAAGACUGAAUCCAAACAUUAACAAUGUUGAUUUGAUGUGCAUUUUACAUUUACUGUACUUUUCACAGUAUUUGUCAAUAAUAAAAUCUGAAAAUAUUCUGGAUACAUUCAGUCAUAAUAGGCUUAGGGUUUGAGUGAGGUCUAACUGGCGUCUCCAAGUGUCCACACACCUCUCCAAACUGUGCACAGUUCAGUCAUUUCAAUGCACCUUUAUGACUCAAGGAAAGAGCUUUAAAUGUGCCUUUUUGAGCUCUCCUAGCUUUGCAAAUUGAGGAAAUGAAGCAAGCGCACUUGUAGUUGUUUUGUUUGGAACACAACCCCGUGUUCACACAAUCAGACUUGUAGUUGUUUUGAACACAACCCCGUGUUCACACAAUCACAUUUGUAGUUGUUUUGUUUGGAACACAACCCCGUGUUCACACAAUCACACUUGUAGUUGUUUUGUUUGGGACACAACCCCGUGUCCACACAAUCACACUUGUAGUUGUUUUGUUUGGGACACAACCCCGUGUCCACACAAUCACAGUUGUCGUUGUUUUGUUUGGAACACAACCCCGUGUCCACACAAUCACAGUUGUUGUUGUUUGGAACACAACCCCGUGUCCACACAAUCACAGUUGUUGUUGUUUGGAACACAACCCCGUGUCCACACAAUCACAGUUGUUGUUGUUUGGAACACAACCCCGUGUCUACACAAUCACAGUUGUUGUUGUUUUGUCUGGAACACAACCCUGUGUCCACACAAUCAGUUGUUGUUGUUUGGAACACAACCCCGUGUUCACACAAUCACAGUUGUAGUUGUUUUGUUUGGAACACAACCCCGUGUUCACACAAUCACAGUUGUUGUUGUUGUUUGGAACACAACCCCGUGUCCACACAAUCACAGUUGUU